rnacentral:rRNA from 1 species
GAUGAACGCUGGCGGCGUGCCUAAUACAUGCAAGUCGAGCGAACAGACGAGGAGCUUGCUCCUCUGACGUUAGCGGCGGACGGGUGAGUAACACGUGGAUAACCUACCUAUAAGACUGGGAUAACUUCGGGAAACCGGAGCUAAUACCGUAUAAUAUAUUGAACCGCAUGGUUCAAUAGUGAAAGACGGUUUUGCUGUCUCUUAUAGAUGGAUCCGCGCCGCAUUAGCUAGUUGGGAAGGUAACGGCUUACCAAGGCAACGAUGCGUAGGCGACCUGAGAGGCUGAUCGGCCACACUGGAACGGGGACACGGUCCAUACUCCUACGGGAGGCAGCAGUAGGGAAUCUUCCGCAAUGGGCGGAAGCCUGGCGGAGCGACGCCGCGUGAGUGAUGAAGGUCUUCGGAUCGUAAAACUCUGUUAUUAGGGAAGAACAAAUGUGUAAGUAACUAUGCACGUCUUGACGGUACCUAAUCAGAAAGCCACGGCUAACUACGUG